rnacentral:tRNA from 1 species
ACCUCGGUAGUGUAAUGGAUCAGCACGGUAGACCGAAUAUCUGUAAGUGUGGGUUCAAGUCCCACUCUAAAUU